rnacentral:snoRNA from 1 species
AUUCCACGAUGAGGGCACUUUCGUAACAAUUCUUUAUAUCUUUCCCUUGUCUCAUACAAGGACUCAUCAUCCAUUUGUUGGAAAUCAGUGAUCUCGUUCCUCAACUU